ACGCUAGCUACAGGCUUAACACAUGCAAGUCGAGGGGAAACGGCAUUUAGUGCUUGCACUGAAUGGACGUCGACCGGCGCACGGGUGAGUAACGCGUAUCCAACCUUCCCAUUACUUUGGGAUAACCUGCCGAAAGGCAGACUAAUACCUCAUAGUCUUCGAUGACGGCAUCAGAUUUGAAGUAAAGAUUUAUCGGUAAUGGAUGGGGAUGCGUCUGAUUAGCUUGUUGGCGGGGUAACGGCCCACCAAGGCAACGAUCAGUAGGGGUUCUGAGAGGAAGGUCCCCCACAUUGGAACUGAGACACGGUCCAAACUCCUACGGGAGGCAGCAGUGAGGAAUAUUGGUCAAUGGACGUAAGUCUGAACCAGCCAAGUAGCGUGCAGGAUGACGGCCCUAUGGGUUGUAAACUGCUUUUGUAUGGGGAUAAAGUCAAUCACGUGUGAUUGUUUGCAGGUACCAUACGAAUAAGGACCGGCUAAUUCCGUGCCAGCAGCCGCGGUAAUACGGACGGUUCGGGCGUUAUCCGGAUUUAUUGGGUUUAAAGGGAGCGUAGGCCGGAGAUUAAGUGUGUUGUGAAAUGUGGACGCUCAACGUCUGAAUUGCAGCGCAUACUGGUUUCCUUGAGUACGCACAACGUUGGCGGAAUUCGUCGUGUAGCGGUGAAAUGCUUAGAUAUGACGAAGAACUCCGAUUGCGAAGGCAGCUGACGGGAGCGCAACUGACGCUGAAGCUCGAAGGUGCGGGUAUCGAACAGGAUUAGAUACCCUGGUAGUCCGCACAGUAAACGAUGGAUGCCCGCUGUUGGUACCUAGUAUCAGCGGCUAAGCGAAAGCAUUAAGCAUCCCACCUGGGGAGUACGCCGGCAACGGUGAAACUCAAAGGAAUUGACGGGGGCCCGCACAAGCGG
rnacentral:rRNA from 1 species